CACGGGGGGAGCAAGCGUUGUUCGGAAUUACUGGGCGUAAAGGGCGUCUAGGCGGUUAGGUAAGUGGGAUGUGAAAUCCCUCGGCUCACCCGAGGACCUGCAUCCCAAACUGCUUAGCUUGAGUAUGGGAGAGGAUGAGGGAAUUCCUGGUGUAGCGGUGAAAUGCGUAGAUAUCGGAAGGAACAUCAGUGGCGAAAGCGGCUUCCUGGACCAGAACUGACGAUCAGGCUCGAAAGCGUGGGGAGCAAACAGG
rnacentral:rRNA from 1 species